GGUGCUAUAGUGUAGUGGUUAUCACUCGGGAUUUUGAGAUCAAAUUCUUCCCGAAACCCAGGUUCGAACCCUGGUAGCACCU